rnacentral:tRNA from 1 species
UUAAAGAGAUAGGAGUCGAACCUAUGCCUAGGAGAUCAAAACCCCUUGUAAUUCCAUUUUACCACUCUCUA